CCUACGGGAGGCAGCAGUGAGGAAUAUUGGUCAAUGGUCGGGAGUCUGAACCAGCCAUGCCGCGUGCGGGAUGACGGUUCUGUGUAUCGUAAACUUCUUUUGUAAGGGAAUAAUGACUCUUACGCGUCCGCGGUUGAGUGUAUCUGAAGAAAAAGCAUCGGCUAACUCCGUGCCAGCAGCCGCGGUAAUACGGAGGAUUCGAGCGUUAUCCGGAUUUAUUGGGUUUAAAGGGUGCGCAGGCGGUUUGAUAAGUUAGCGGUUAAAGCUCGGGGCUUAACCCCGUGCCCGCCUUUGAUACUGGCGGACUCGAGUGCGAAUGAAGUAGGCGGAAUGAGCGGUGUAGCGGUGAAAUGCUUAGAUAUUGCGCAGAACUCCGAUUGCGAAGGCAGCAUGC
rnacentral:rRNA from 1 species